rnacentral:rRNA from 1 species
GACGAACGCUGGCGGCGUGCCUAAUACAUGCAAGUCGAGCGGAUCUUUGGGAGCUUGCUCCCAAAGAUUAGCGGCGGACGGGUGAGUAACACGUGGGCAACCUGCCUAUGAGACUGGGAUAACUCCGGGAAACCGGGGCUAAUACCGGAUAAUUCUUUUCUACACAUGUAGAAAAGCUGAAAGAUGGUUUCGGCUAUCACUCAUAGAUGGGCCCGCGGCGCAUUAGCUAGUUGGUGAGGUAACGGCUCACCAAGGCGACGAUGCGUAGCCGACCUGAGAGGGUGAUCGGCCACACUGGGACUGAGACACGGCCCAGACUCCUACGGGAGGCAGCAGUAGGGAAUCUUCCGCAAUGGACGAAAGUCUGACGGAGCAACGCCGCGUGAGUGAUGAAGGUUUUCGGAUCGUAAAACUCUGUUGUUAGGGAAGAACAAGUACCGGAGUAACUGCCGGUACCUUGACGGUACCUAACCAGAAAGCCACGGCUAACUA